GGAAAGGUAAAUCUUUUCUAUCACACUGAGCUACCGUAGAUGCCAAAUAGAAUGAAGCAGCUUUAAAGGAUUUUCCCAGGAGUAGAGAAGUGUUUUUGAUUCACCUGGAUGGAUACUGGCAGAGCAGGAGAAAUAAAUGGGCAGUGGUAACACCUGGCCUGCCUGGAUACGGCCUGAAUUCUUUGCUCCAACUUUUUUUCAAAUUACCUUCAUGGUAACUGGACAAAUGUGUGGCUUGCCAAGAUACCAAGAUUGUGACACAAGAAGCAUAUCAAUUUCAAGUAAGGUUUGCCUGUGUUGGCCUCCAUCCCUCUAAUUCUGCGUGCAGUUGGGGCUACCCUGGAGCACAGCGUCACUGGAGCUGCUGGAAGGAGAUUCCUGCAUGAUGCAGCCACCAGUGCAAAACUUCCAUCAAUUAUGAGAGAAAUCUUGGCUAAGAUGCAUACAGUAGAGCUUCACAGCAGACUCAGUCUUCUGUUUCAUCAUAGUCUAUUUACUAUAUGUCAGGUUACAUUUUAUGCUCCAAAAUAAAUAGAAACUUCAUUGCAGAACUACAGCAAACAAAAAUUGGGAAACAGCCCUACGGAACAACUGCAACUCACUACCUGUUCACAUCACUAUGUGUCUACAAAAGGGGCACAAUUGUGUCAGUAGAGAAAACAGGUUCUAGUGUCAGGGUCAGGAAGAAAUUGUUACAUUCAGUCAAGAGUGAAAUAUAUUUUAAGUUUUGAAAAAUCAUCUUAUAAUGUCAUUUCUCACAUAUGACAAAGUCCUGGCCUGCAGUAAUCACUAUAGACCUAACGCAUUUCCAAAGGAAAAGGAUAUUAGCUGCAGCUCUAUAUCAAUCCCAAAACACUUAGUGCAUUUCUGCCAGUUCAUAAUGACUCUGGCAUUUUGGUCUGGAAAACUUAAUUUUCACUGUAUGUGAAGACCCUAAA